UAUUCUACCCUACGGGGAAGGAUGAGAAGCUUCGACUAAGGUUCGACUCGAGCGUAGCGAGAGAACGUUGCCGCAGGCAAUGGCCCGAAGGGCGAGGAGCGAUAGCGACGAGUUAUCCUUCCCCCUCUAUUC
rnacentral:sRNA from 1 species